UACGUAGGGGGCAAGCGUUAUCCGGAUUUACUGGGUGUAAAGGGAGCGUAGACGGCCAGACAAGUCUGAAGUGAAAAUCCAGCGCUUAACGUUGGAAGUGCUUUGGAAACUGCCGGGCUGGAGUGCAGGAGGGGCAGGCGGAAUUCCUAGUGUAGCGGUGAAAUGCGUAGAUAUUAGGAGGAACACCAGUGGCGAAGGCGGCCUGCUGGACUGCAACUGACGUUGAGGCUCGAAGGCGUGGAGAGCAAACAGG
rnacentral:rRNA from 1 species